CAGGCGCAGCAGUUACCUGCCAGACUGGGGGACGUGGCAGAAAAGGUCCUUGCCUUGAGGAAGUUCGAGUCUAGCAGAGGAGAAAAUCAAGAAACAACGCCAAAUGCAUUAUGUCCGAGUGGAAGGUCCUCUGGGAAGCACCCAGGGCACAGGAACACAGUGUCUACUUCUCACCAAAGGAGCCCUCUCCUAUAUCCAGGUUGCAGCUCUCUUACAGCUCACGCAGAGUCCCCCAGAGGAUGAAGGAGAAGCAAACCUCUUCUGCCCUCGCCUGCCAAAGAAAUCAAUCAC
rnacentral:lncRNA from 1 species